rnacentral:lncRNA from 1 species
CGUCACGUCAAAAAAACGUACAGCAGACGCGACGUAGCAGUGUACCAACAGACGACGGCGGUUGCAACGUCGACAGCAGAACGUUUUUGUGCAGUGUUGACCGACUGUUUUCAUGUUCGGUUAAACGCGGAGAAAUGAGAUCAUCAUUUUUCAGGAAAUGAAUUAAAACAACUUUUGUCGGUAUAAUGUUAACGUAAACAAAAAAUGGACGGUUUAAUAGUGCAUUAUGAACGCAAUAUGGAUGUUAUCGUAUAGCGAGAAAUUGAGCGGUGUUGAUCACUGCAACUGGCAACACUGGCCACUCUAGAAAUGGCGAGCCACAGCAACAACGCAUCUGCUGUCGUGAUGCUUGGCGGUUAUAUGCUGAUGUUAUUGCUAUGCAAGCGAAGAAAGCAACGAGCGCGCAAAGCACGGCGACCGAGAAGCACCUGGGUCCGAAACAUGUGCAGACAUCGCAAGUUCGGCCACUCAUCUUUGCUGAUUCCUUUGCUGCGCCGCUCCGACCCUGAAUACUACUUCGACUACAUGAGGAUGUUUCCGGCGACGUUCGAGAAGUUGCUGUGUUUGGUUAGAAGUGGGAUCGAGCGACUGGACACCAACUGGAGAAUAGCCAUCCCGGCGCGGACACGACUCGAAAUAACGCUUAGGUAAAUAAUUUAAUGAAUAUGCUCAUCAAGGUUCUUGGCUUUCUAAAGAUUGGUGUGUUUAUUUUUCCUCACUCUAUAUGCAUUUUUUCGAUUUCGUUCAGGUUUCUUGCAAGUGGUGACACUCAGCGCUCGUUGUCAUUUUCAUAUAUGAUUGGAAGAUCGACUGUUUCCGAUAUUAUUUCAGAAACCACGCAAGUGAUUUGGGAAACCCUGAAAAAGAGAUACGUUAAGUGCCCUACGAAACCCGAGGAGUGGCGCGAUAUUGCUAGAGGUUUUGAGCAGCGGUGGAAUUUUCCUAACUGAGUCGGCAGUAUUGAUGGCAAACAUGUCACAGUCGAAGCCCCAUGUAAUUCAGGAUCUGAGAACUUCAACUACAAAGGAAGCUUUAGCAAAAUUUUGAUGGCUGUGUGCGACUCUGCAUACAAAUUCCUCUACGUGGAAGUUGGUCGAUCUGGUGGAGAAAGCGACGGGGGCGUCUUCGGAAGGAGUACGCUUUGCAAAGCCCUUGAGACGGGAAAGCUGGGUAUUCCUCGAUCCACUGCAAUUCCAGGAGGAGAUGUUGCCCCUUAUGUGAUUCUUGGGGAUGAAGCAUUUCCCUUGAAAGAAUACCUCAUGCGACCUUAUCCAAAGCGUUACAUAAAAACAGACAGUGAGAGAAUUUAUAAUUACCGCCAUGCUCGGGCAAGGCGUGUAAUUGAGAACGCGUUCGGCAUACUAACUAGUCGCUGGCGCAUUUUGAGAAGGAGGUUUAAGGCCACUGACGAGAAUGUCAACAGAUACGUACUUGCAUGUGUGGCACUGCAUAAUUUCCUGUUAACUGAAAAAGAGGAGAAAGAGAAAUACUGUCCUUCCAGGCUAGUGGACACAGAAUCUUGGACUGGUGAGGUAAUUGACGGCAAGUGGCGACAGGAUGGUAAAACAGUGCCAGUGUUUAGACAAGCGUCAAAGUUCGGCUCAAACAAACCUUCCCACGCAGCGCAAAAAGUUCGUCAGACAUUUAAGAACUAUUUCAUGGGACCGGGCCAAGUUGAGUGGCAGUUGGAUUAUAUACACAGGAAUGCUCCAAGGCAAUGAGCACAUGCAGAGGAGUGGUAGCAUGCCCUACUAUAUGUAAAUAAACAUUCACUCGCAUUUAAACUUCUUUAAUUUCAAGCAAUGCCAUGUGACAUGCGUGCAUAAGCCCAUCUUGCUGCACUGGCGUCAAUUCCUUCGCUGAUGCCGCCAUAAAAUCAAAAAAAGAGUUGCAUCGAUGCACGGGUUGUUUGUGCACUGUGGCGCUGACAGCUUGCAUAAAGGCGCCCGUCACCUGCUUCAUG